ensembl:lncRNA
AUGGACAAGAUGGAACGUGUCCACAGAAGGGCAAAUAAAACUAUCAACGUUUUGGAAGCCAAGGUGUAUGAGCCACAGCUUAUGGAACUGGGUAUGUUCAGCUUGGAGAAGAGAUGGUUAUGGAGCGGCAUACUACCCAUGUUGAAAUACUUUAAAGGAUGCCACAUUGAGGAGGGCGCAAGCUUGUUUUCCGCUGCUCCAGAGACUAGGACAUGGAGCAAUAGAUACAAAUUGCAGGAAAACAAAUUCCAUCUAAACAUUAGGAAGAAAUUCCUGAGAAUAAGAGCUGUUCAGCAGUGGAAUCUCCUGUCCUGUAGUUUGAAGCCAUUGUUCCGCGUCCUAGUCUCCAGGGCAGCAGAAAACAAGCUUUCUCCCUCCUCCCUAUGACUUCCCCUCACAUAUUUAUACAUGGCUAUCAUAUCUCCUCUCAGCCUUCUCUUCUGCAGGCUAAACAUGCCCAGUUCUUUAAGCCACUCCUCAUAGGGCUUGUUUUCCAGACCCUUGAUCAUUUUAGUCACCCACCUCUGUGGACACAUAUCAGCUUGUCAACAUCUCCCUUCAAUUGUGGUGCCCAGAAUUGGACGCAGUAUUCCAGGUGUGGUCUGACCAAAGCAGAAUAGAGGGGGAGCAUGACUUCCCUGGAUCUAGACACUAUACUCCUAUUUAUGCAGGCCAGGAGUAUAGUGCCUAGAUCCAGGGAAGUCAUGCUACAUUUCCAGGAUAUCUCACAAAUACAAAAAGAAAAUAUGACUUCUUUUUAAUACAACAGCAAUUUAAAAUUUUAAAAAAACCUGGACAGCUAACAAAAGAAAUACAUGCAAAAAAGAAGAAUUAUUCUUACUUGCCCGUCUCCCUAUCAAUCAAUAAAAACAUAGCACAUAGCAUCAGUGAAAAGAGUAUAAAACCACUAUGUAUUAAAAUCCACACAAAAAGGUCUUUAAAAUCAUAAUUUAAAAGUAACCUGGAUUGUAAAGGCAAUCUGGACUGGGCUUUACUGCUGUUUUAAAUGCAGACCGCAUCUCCAGUUUAUGAAGCUCUUCUGGCAGGUCAUUCCACAAUCUGUGGGCAGCUGAAGAAAUUGUCCUCUGCAUAAUAAUCAGUUUAGUUUUUUCUGACUGAAGGAGAUGUCCAUGGGGGAUCAAAAACAUAUUUCCAAUGUUGGCAUAAUAACUAGAAAAUGAAUAGGUUGUCAUCAGGAAAAAAACACACAUUAAAGUUAACUUCUCAUCAGAAAAACACCAGAUACAUUUCCUUUGGGAAAGCAUUCCUUCAGUACCAUUAUUGAAAAAGUCCUUCACAUGCAUUAUUUUUGAAAUUGUUGCAUCUAAUAAUGGUUGAAUGCUAUAUCUCUUACAUCUGACAAUUAAUUAGAUUUGAUUCCAAUAGUUGAUAAUUGAUUGUGGAACUUUUGCAUUAUUCAGUAGCCUACAUGCUGUGAUAAGGAUCAUUUCAUGCCAGCCAUAAUAUAAUGCAAACUAUGAAUAUUCUAAAAUAUUUUAAUCAAACUUCAAAUGCUGCCAAGUGUGGAUAUAUCACAUUUCAGCUUCCUCUGAGUAACUCAGCUAUCAGAAGGAAGGCAGGUGGCAUCAACAUUAACAACAAGAAGCAUGAAGUAGUAUAUCAUAGUAAUUUUCACAACUUUCUAAAUUAGGCACUCUUUUCUGCAUAAAAUAAUCUGCCAUGGAACUCCUUUAUAUCUACUACAGAACACUGCAGCAGCUAAAAAAGCCAAUGGGAUUUUGGACUGCAUCAAAAGGAGUAUUAUGUCUAAAUUGAGGGAAGUCAUGCUACCCCUCUCUUUAACUGGAAUACUGUGUCCAAUUCCAGGUAUCACAGUUCAAAAGAGAUAUUGACAAGCUGGAAGGUAUCAAGGGGAGGGUGACUUAAAUGAUCAAAGAUCUGAAGACCAUGAAUCCCUAUGAGAAACAUCUUAAAGAACUGGAUGUGUUUAGCCUGAAGAAGAGAAUGUUGUGAGGAGACAUGAUAGACAUGCAUAAAUAUGUGAAAGGGUGUCAUAAGGAAGACGGUGCAGGUUUGUUUUCUGCUGCCUUGGAGACUAGGACUUGGAGCAAUGGGUUCAAAGAGACUCCACCUGAACAUUAAGAAGACCUUCCUGACUAUAAGAACUAUUCAGCAGUGGAACUCUCUGCCUCUGAGUGUGGUGGAAGCUCUUUCCCUGGAGACUUUUAAACAGAAACUUGAUGACCAUUUGUCAGGAGUACUUUCUGCUUUUCUUGCAUGGCAGGGGGUUGUAUUGGAUGGCCCAUGUGGUAUCUUCCAACUUUAUUACUGUUUUUUAUUAUUCUAUUAUUCUAAUACAGGCAGUCCCAAGUUAUUAACAAGAUAGAUUCUGUAGGUUUAAUCUUAAGUUCAAUUUGUAUAUAAGUCAGAACAGGUACAUUUUAAAGAUUUUUAAGAUUUAACACCCCUGUGGUGUUUGUUUUGCUGUCUGCGCCCCUGUUCAGAAGAUUUCACCUUACUUUCUCUCCCUGUGAUAAUUGGAUUUUGAAAAAUUUGGCUUGUUGAGGAAACAAGGAUUAGUAAGAAAGCCUGUGGAGAGACACCUUUUCCCCCUAAUAACUCUUUCAGGAGUGAGUUUCCCUUCCUAAGAGUAACUUUAUAUUACUUCCUGUUCUCUCUCUCUCUCUCUCUCUCUCUCUCUCUCUCUCUCUCUCUCUCCCCCCCCCCCCCCCAUUCUUACCUAGGAGUUUUUUGUAAGUCAAAUGUAAAUCGGAGACUGCCUGUAUACCCAUUUGUUGCAAAAGAUUAAUAAAGUAUUCUGGUUUUUUAAAAUCUCUGUUCA